GGGAUAGUGCCUUUUCCCUGCGGACCCCAUCAGAACCGGAUGGACCAGCACUAUUGUUAGAGGAAGAGUCAAAGAGGUGAGGGUGUGUAGCUGGGAUGAAGCCACGGAUAUCUGAAUGGCAAGCCCGCAAGCCUGCAGAGGCAGGGAGCACUGACUACCUGGGCCAGAAUAGAACCUGGAAGUUCCGGUAAUGCGUUAUCAAGGAUGAAGCUUCUCUCUUCCCCCUUCUCACUUGGGUGAGUCAGGUUUUGCUUCAUAAAGGCCACGUUGUCACAGGUUGCUUAUGUAAUGCUCACCCAAUGAAAGGAAACAUUCAAAGGGUGACUUUGCCAUUUGGUUGCCAAAUUAAUGCCUUAGAGAAAAAUGGGUAGAGUUAGAAGGGACCUACCCCCAAUAACUCAAUAACUGGGGAGUAGAAAGUAAACUGUAGGAAUGAGAAAUAGCUUGCCCCUUUGAAUCUUCACACUGAUCAACAGGGAUUCCAGUUCAAGUGAGUGGGUUAAGUAGCUAGAAAACAAAUAGAGCAGGUCCCCAGCAAUGCAGAACAGUCAUUACUUCACAGCUUUCAGCUGGAGAGUGUUGGGCGAAAAAAAAAAAAAAAAGGAAAGAAAGAGAAAAAGAAAAAUAGGGAGAAAUACUUUAAAGCAUCGCAUUGAGCUAAGAGGUAAAGGAAGGCAAUUAUGAGUAAACUCAAUUCAAGAAAUGUAAUUUUAAUGGAUUAGAUGGUUGCUUGCAAGCUGAAGAUGGGAAAUGUGGCUUUAAUGAUGAACCGUACAAAGUAUUUUGUAGACUGAGGAUAUUUCAUUCCAUUACUCUCUUCUUUGGAUUAUGACUUUGUA
rnacentral:lncRNA from 10 species